ensembl:lncRNA
AGCAGGAGUUUUCUUCUUAUUUAAGGGGUUUUUAUAGACUCUGAGGCACAACCCAAUCUUUCUGAGGUUUUACCAAACUUUUUGGUAAAACAACCUCAGUUUUAUUUUAGACCCUAUUUUCCUAGCAGUGCCUGGAUCUGACAUUUGCUUGGAAGUGGUUUCUUAACUUUAACAUUGUUUGCUAUCUGGAGAGGCUGAAAAAUUUUCAAAACCUGUUGUUUGUGUCAUUUUAUUUCUCUCUCCUGCAUUUUACCAUAAAUUGUGACAAGAGACCAGGUGACACCUCCAUCACUUUGGAAACACUCCUUAACUCAGGUAUCCAGUUCAUUAGACAUACUUUUCCCCCACAUACCUGAAGGUAGCAGUGUUGCUAAACUUUGCUAUUAUAUAAUUAGUUUCCUCUUCCUGCAAUUUCCAAUAACAUGCAUCUCGUUUCCUUCUGUACCCUCACCAGCAGUCUCCCCAAAGUCAAGAUUUCUAUUAACAGUUUACUGAAGACAAUUAGACCUCCUCGAACAUGCUCCUCAAAUUCCCCCCUGCUUCUGCCUGCUCUUAGGUUCCAAAGCCAUUCUCACACAUAUUUGUUACAGCAUCACCCCAACUUCCAGGAACUAAAAUCUGUAUUUAUUCUUUUCACGUCUUAUCUCCACAGGCAACUAUUUUAAUGUAUUUAAAGGAAAUGACUUUGUGUGUGAAGAUUUUUUUUACAAAAUUAUACUCUUAUUUUUUAAUGUAUAUUUUUACUUUCCUAAAUGGUAUUGUUUUAUAUAUCUUAUUUUUCAGCUUUGGUUUUUUUUUUUUUUUUUUUUCUUUUUUGGCUGCCCUGCAGCAUUCGGAGUUCCCAGGCCAGGGAUCAGACUGAGCUCAGUUGUGACCUAUGCCUCAGGCUGGAUCCUUAAUCCACUUUGCGGGGUCAGGGAUUGAACCUGUGUCCCAGCACUCUAGAGACACCACAGAUCCAUAGUAGGAACUCCUAUUUCUUACUCUUUUCAACCAUCCCUAUGUUUUUAAGAUCCGUCCAUGUUUUUAUGUGGCCAUGUAAUCAGUUGCUUCCAACUCUGUGUGGUACACCGUAGGUUACACUCCUUCCCCUGUCUUUUAUUGUUCCAGUCUUCUAGGGGAUGGCAUCCAGAUUACCUCUAACUUCAUGCUGUCAUCACAAAUAAUGUGGCAUGAACAUCCUAAUUCAUGGUCCCUAUGAAUCUGUGUGAGGAUUUUUUGGGAUAUAGGCAUACUCAGAACUGGAAUAUUGAUGUAUAGGUUACACAUAGGCUUAAUUUUGACUAGCAUGUGCCAAAUUAUUCACAAUAAAGCUGCACUAGUUUUCAUUUCCACCAGCCAUGCCUAAAGGACCUUAUAUUCCACCUCUAGGCUGACACUCAGUAUUAUCAUCCAGUUAAAACUUUUUUUAUUUCAGUCUUUUUGAUAUGAAAUCCCAUCUCAUUUAUAUUUCGAUUCACACUUUUCCCAACAAUUGAUGUUUGAGCAUCUCUUCAAACACUUGACUUCCCUCUUCUACGGACUGUCUAAUCCUAUCCUUGUUUGUAUAUUCUUUAAGGCCAGAGACCAGGUAUAAUUUCCUCUGCAUUCUCCACUGCUCCUAGAACAUUGCUGGGCCUUGAUUGAUGAUUGAUGAGAAGGUCAAUGCGGCAGUGUUAUUUGAGCUUCUGGAGUUUGCGGCACACUUUUCUUCUCCAGAGCCUGAGGUGUUGCCUUCACUCAUUCAGAACACAUUUAUCAAAUGACUACCCUGUGCCAAGUCUUCCUGUGCAACUCUCCCUUCCGGCAAAGCCCCAAAGACCCGUCAGUCACUCCAUCAAUUGAACAGAAGAAUGAAACAGGUCACACAAGUCAUCUGGCACCGCACAGACUCUAGUAACAUUUUAAAUGCCCUUUUAUAGACUUUAACAUUCUAAUAUCCUCUAAUGUAGGGAUUAACUGAUUUUUUUUUUCUUUUGCUGUUGUUUUUAACUGCCAUGUGCCUAAAGCAAGCCAAGACCCAAGUAAUCUUGGCAAUGUCUUUGCCCAUCAAUAGGAGAAUCAGAACAACCUUUGUUCAGUUUCUCUGCUUGUGAAGAGCAAUCCCAAUCUUGGUGAAUGACGGUUGAUGAAAAGUAUGAAUUUCAUAGACGAAAAGUAAACUCCUCCCUGUACUGCACUCAUAAAGAUCUUGAGUCCUAAUAUGACAACAUUUAUCUACAUUUCCAGAGAGAGGAGGUGUCCUCAACCCUGGUGUAACUCCCCCCCAUACCCACCCACCCCAGGGCAGGGGUAUGUGCCCAACUCUGAAAGUCUUGAGUGAGUCAUCUCCAUUUCAUAUUGUAAUUAUCUGUUCAUUUGCUCUUUCUCCUCUAGAUUUCGGAAACAUUGAGUAUACUGGUUGUGUCUUAUUCAUUUCUUUGAUUUUGUUGUUCUUAGCAAGGCAUUUGUCACAUAGUAGAUGUUCAAUAAACAUUGACUGAACAAAUGAACACAUGAAUAAAACUUUUAUUGAGCACCUACUUGCCAUGUACUAUGCCAAAACCUGGGAAUUCAUGGAUAAAUGUCACAGUUUAAUUUUAAAAUAACUGACACAUCCUAUGUGGAGAUGAGUUUCAAAUAAAGAGGGAAUGCCAUUUGUAGCACUCAUCUUUUUCAUUUCCAAGUCCUUCUGCCCUUGAAUUUUAAAUGUGACUUAUAUUUUACUCACAAGAAAUAGGCUUUCUCUGUGUGUGUAUGUGU